rnacentral:rRNA from 1 species
AGCGAACGCUGGCGGCAGGCCUAACACAUGCAAGUCGAACGGAUCCUUCGGGAUUAGUGGCGGACGGGUGAGUAACACGUGGGAACGUGCCCUUUGGUUCGGAACAACUCAGGGAAACUUGAGCUAAUACCGGAUGUGCCCUUCGGGGGAAAGAUUUAUCGCCAUUGGAGCGGCCCGCGUCUGAUUAGCUAGUUGGUGAGGUAACGGCCCACCAAGGCGACGAUCAGUAGCUGGUCUGAGAGGAUGACCAGCCACACUGGGACUGAGACACGGCCCAGACUCCUACGGGGGGAACAGGGGGGGAACCUGGCGGAAGGGGCGAAACCGUGACGGCGCCGGGCCGGGUAAAUUAAAAUUGUUGUGAGAGUUUAAAAUUCUUUGGGGGGGACCGGUAAUGACGUCACCCGAAAAAGAAGCCCCGUCUACCUUGGUG